UACGAAGGGGGCUAGCGUUGCUCGGAAUCACUGGGCGUAAAGCGCACGUAGGCGGAUCUUUAAGUCAGGGGUGAAAUCCCGAGGCUCAACCUCGGAACUGCCUUUGAUACUGGGGAUCUCGAGUCCGGAAGAGGUUGGUGGAACUCCGAGUGUAGAGGUGAAAUUCGUAGAUAUUCGGAAGAACACCAGUGGCGAAGGCGGCCAACUGGUCCGGUACUGACGCUGAGGCGCGAAAGCUAGGGGAGCAAACAGG
rnacentral:rRNA from 1 species